UAAAUGUAAUGCAUAGCUCUAAUUUUUUUAUGGAUCAUGGUUGCAUUAUAUGAUCCUUUCACUUGCAAUUAAUCGUUUAUACUCACUCAUUCACAGCUUGAAGGAUGAGCUAACGUGUCACUCUUUCAUUACGGUAGUUGAUUGAUCUUGAUUUAAUGGUUACAGACAGAAAAAGAAAAGUAGAACAACCUAUUUAACUACAAGUUUAUAUUUACACAUUA